rfam:Thauera linaloolentis 47Lol = DSM 12138 Cont14, whole genome shotgun sequence.
GCCGGCAUAGCUCAGUUGGUAGAGCAGCGCAUUCGUAAUGCGAAGGUCGGGGGUUCGACUCCUCUUGCCGGCA